UGGGGAUAUUCGUCCUCGCCCCCUCCCAGGCGACUCUGUGGCCCAUGAGUCAGGACCGCUCCCCGCCCCCUCCAUUGAGUACCGCUUGGGAGGGGUUAAUUUUAAAUACCAUUCCUGCGCCCAGCCCCGCAGCAUUGGAGUUCAACACCCGCCAGUCAGUGCAGGCAUGUCGCCAGCUCCCAGAGCUCCCUGGGGGAUGCUGAUGUACCGCCAGGCUUGACAUGGUGUGACCUAAAGGGCCAUCCCCGAGCAGAGACCCCAACAGCGCUAAGAGGGACGCUGAGUCGUGUCCACGCGGCGGCCGAGCGAAAGGCCGUAGCUGAUGGACAGCCCUGGGGCGGACGGCCGUCUGAAAAGCGGGUAGAUCUGGAGUCAUCGAAGAAAAUUGUAUGUGAGGACGUUGGGCAGGGCACCACUGUUCUGUAAGGUUGUCUUUUCCUUCAAACCACUGAGGCCUGGAAGGGACCCAGAUAUAAUAGAAUUGACCAUAUUGCCCACUUAGGGUACAGACCACGCGGCCUCAUAAACGGGCUGAGACCCAUAAAUUGAAAUAACAGCACGCCCCCCCCCGCCCCACCCCUGCCACUUGUUUGGCUUGGCAGAGAGGAGAGUUCAUGCCUGGCAUUAUUAUUACUAUGGGUUUUUAUGGUGACUCACCUCCCACAUUUGAGCCUUCCUCUCGCUGCCUGAGGAGGAAGUCUCCCUGACGUCUGUGUUGCCACUAAGAUUUGUCAGAGUGGUUGUGGACCUCGGGUCUCCCCGGGGCCACGGUCCCUGGGCUCAGGCUGCUUGGAGGCCCGGCCUACCGCCAUCCCCCGGGGUCUUGAUUUUUCAUGCAGGGAGCACGGUGCCAGCCUCACUGAUGAGCUUAGUUCAGUGCUAGGCAGGAGGGGGGAGGGGCGACCAGGCUCUGGAGGGGGCUGACGUCACCUGGGGCCACUGCUUCUGGCCGAAACCGAGCAGGCCUUUUGGCCAGACUGUGCCCUUUGCUCCACCAUAAGCCUCAGCAAGAGAAGUUGAGUUAGCCUCAAACCCUGGGCGAAGCUGGGCAUCUGGAGCGGGGGGCAAGACUGCCCGGGUUCAAAUCCCCGCUCCAGCCCAGACCCACUGGUCAUCCUCACAUGUUGCUGAAAACAACCCCCACCACCACCACCAAGAGAACAAACAAACAAAACCGUCUCACCGUGCCUCAGUUUCCCCACGUGUUGAAAGGGAAUCCUCACCAUGACGCCACAUAGGUUGUUUUAAAUCUAAAGUGGACUCGGCCAGAGAGAGCAGCCGUAAAGUAGUGAGUGCCCAGGAGGCUAAUUUAACCGGCCCGUGUUCAUCUGUGCAUCCCUUUAGCCACCUUUCUAAACAGCUCGUGUAAUUUUAACUUCUUUUGCAACAUUAGAUUUCACCUCUGGGGUCCGUCUAGUCGUUAAGCCAAAUGCCUCCGUUCAAGGUUUUAGCAACGCACCUACAGAAACGCAGCUGGCCUUGCCUUGGUAACCUGAUGGGCAGAGUCAGAAUCCAGAAAUUUCUAGGCAGGGUCUGGCACCAAGUGGGCUCACUGGAGCCCCUCAGCGGGGCCGCAGCUGUGCAGUCCCCUGGUUGCCGUCCUUGGCCCCUUCCUGGGUGCUAUUGUCCGCAACUCCCCUCACCGGGAUCCAGAGGACUUGUGGGAAAAUUAGUCUUUGCUCUUUGUGAAAAAGCUAGGCCCUGGAUUCUAGUGGCGGGGGGGGGGGGGGGGGGGUGGGGGGGUGGGGGUGGGGAGUCAUUGUGUUCCCCAGCUUUUAUUAUGGAAAUGUUCAAACUGGGAGGCUGAAAGGAGUGACACCCAUAGCCACCCCCCCACCCCAUUCUCCAGCUUACACCUUGCUAUUCUUGCUUUCUCUGGUACCUGUCUAUCUGUCUGUCCCUUUGUCCACCACUCAUAGAUCAACUUUCAUCCCAUUUUAUUUUUUUAUGCAGACAUCAGAUGGCUUUCUUCUGAGGCUGACUUACUUUACCGUAAUGUCUCUGUUCAAGGGUUUGAUAAGGUGGAGCCCGUACAGAGAUGCAAAUGGCUCUUCUUGGUCUAACUCUCUCAUAAAAACGCACGCCCGUGAGCGGUAGGGCAGUUCCUUGGGACAGCGGCUCUGCAGGGACUGCCAGUGCCUCCAACCAUCUGCACCUCUGUCUCCUCCAAGAAUUAAAACUGCAUUUUCUCAAGCAUGAAAAUAAAGCAAAAAUUAAAAAAACUCUGAGCAGGUUUUUAUUACCCUUUUGCAAUAUUAUUAAUCCAU